rnacentral:rRNA from 1 species
UUAAGCAUAUUAAUAAGCGGAGGAAAAGAAACUAACAAGGAUUCCCCCAGUAACGGGAGUGAAGCGGGAAGAGCUCAAAUUUGAAAUCUCCGAUGCCUGCAUCAGCGAGUUGUAGUUGCGAGAAGCACUUUCUAGGUGGAUCGGCGACACCUAAGUUGCUUGGAACAGCACGUCACAGAGGGUGACAACCCCGUCUGUGUGGGAAUGCAGCCCAAAAUGGGUGGUAAACUCCAUCUAAAGCUAAAUACUGGCGUGAGACCGAUAGCGAACAAGUACCGUGAGGGAAAGAUGAAAAGAACUUUGAAAAGAGAGUUAAAAAGUAUGUGAAACCGUCGGAAGGGAAACGAAUGGACUCAGCAAUGCGCCCCGCAAGAUUCAGCCGGCGAGUGGCGGCGGCGCCGGGUCUGCGGAUCCAAAUGGAGUGCGGAUCCAAAUGGACCGCGGCCCGGCGCCCGCCUCCCCCCGCCGUCGCACUUCUCCGGGGCGCGCGUCAACGUGGGUCGGGACUGGGUCUGAAAGGUGCCAGGAAGGUAGGCGUGGGCCUCCGAGUCCCGCGCUSUUACAGCCCGGUUCUCUCCUGGCUCGGGCCCAACCGAGGAGGGCAUGCCUCCUGUGGCUAGGGUCCCGUCCUUCCGGCCGGUUGUCCAGUGCGGUCAACUGCUUGCAGUGCUCCGCGACGGCUGCCGGUCGUUGGGGUGGUGAUCUCGUACCAUGCCCUUGGGAUGUUCGCUGUCAUAUGGGUCC